rnacentral:lncRNA from 1 species
CACCUCCAUGCAAGAAAUUAAGGAAAUCUACCAGCAAAAAUUCAAGCUUUCUACAGAGCCAUAAGAUCAUUAGAAAAUGAAAUACAAAAUAUAUCACAGUGUUGAUCACCCUCUCUGUACUAAUAGACUGUUUGAUUAUUGUAUAGUCGAUAUAGCCUCUGAGAUUCGCCUUCCCCCCUCUCUUGCUCCUACUGAGACUAGCAUCUGGUAUUGUACUUGUUGGAGACCAUUACCAGCUGCCACCUUUAGUGAGAUCACCAGUGGCCAAAGAAAGGUUAUAAGGAAAGUCUUUUUAAACGAUUUUCAUCAGCUCAUCCAAUGUCCCUGACUUCUCUCACACACCAGCAUAGAAUGAAUUGAUAUUAUGGAAUUGUCCAACCGUCUCAUUUAUGACAAUUUGCUUUGUUGUGCUUCUGAAGACAUUGCCAGGGCAACCAUGUCAACAUCAGGAUGGAGUUUUUUGGAAAUUAAAUCAGAUUGGCUGGCGCAUGCUAUUGACCCGAAUAAUAAUGUUGUGUUUCUAAAUACAGACAAACUUGGUACUGCAUUAGAAGAAAAUACAUCUGAUCACAUGUGCAAUACGUUUGAAGUUAAAGCAGUUGUGAACAUCAUCACGACUUUAGUACAGUUAGGGAUAAGCCCCUCUGAUAUACUAGCAAUUACACAGUACAAGAGUCAAGAAAGACUCAUGAAUAAAUGGCUGCAGAAGCCCGAGGCAAAUUUACAGACCUCAUAGUUCCAGUAUACCAAGGAUUAAGGAUUGGGCUGUGGAGGUGCUGACUAUUGACAAAUGCCAGGGAAGGGAUAAGAGUUGUGUGUUGGUGUCAUUUGUUAGGAGCAACACAUCAGGAAAGGUUGGUCAGCUUCUUGACUGGAAGAGGGUCAAUGUGGCCAUGACUAGAGCAAAACACAAGCUGAUAUUCAUUGGGUCUUAUAGCACCCUCUCUCACUCACCUCACAUGUUGAAAGUGAUAAGCAUCAUGAGUCAACGCAAAUGGAUGGUUGAUAUAGGUACAUUGUGACCUAUUCUUGUACUCAUUACACUAACUCAAUUUUGGACACUCAUUAUUAUUAUUAUUAUUAUUAUUAUUAUUAUUUGGAAUUUUCUAUUUUGCAUUUUCUUUCUCUGUCAAAAAAUUAACAGUAAUGGCAUGCAUAAGC